CAAGACUUGUUUCUUUUCAGGAUCUACCUCCAGUCACCUGAUCACACUACCAGCUAGUUCUUCACUGUGUUUCUUGGCAGCCAGCAAGCAACCACAGAGAGCAAGAACCAGCAGGAGAAGUAACAACUUGGGAGAGAAAAGGGAGGGAGCAGAGCACAGACCUGUUUCUGGAACACACCGGAGGGAGUGCUUUACCUUACCUUGGAUACACCGACAGUACCACUGGAUGUCACUGUUGCUUCAUGAAAGUCAAAAGAUGUACCAGGUGUCACCACAGAAUUUGGAGAAGCUGAAGCCAAGGUGCCACUGGGAAACAGGAAUGGCGGAGAGAGAUAGGGAACUAACCAAGUCAUGUGGAACAAAGUGAUUGCUAGAGGUCUGAUCUGCACACGGGUAUGAGGAUUGAUAGAAUACUGACAAAUCUUUUUAAAAAAACCCCAUGACUCUGACACAUCAAAACAGUGUGUGAGCUCCUCCUGGUGGUGCAGAAGUCUUGGAGAGUCAAACAGGAACAAGGAAUAAAAGGAGAAAAAUCAAGUGACUAUGUUGAAGC
rnacentral:lncRNA from 1 species